rnacentral:lncRNA from 1 species
AAAAUCUACUUAAAAAGAAGUGUGGACUGAAAAGUUUGGUAUUUGCUUGUAAAAUAAUGGAGUCUUCUCAUAGUGGAUUCCAACUUGAAUCCAGCCCAGCCCAGCAGAGGAAGUCUUUAGAGCUGGUCAGAAAAUGUCAGAUGUGCUGAUAAGAAAUCGGCCACGUGGAUGGAACUGUGAUCUCCCUGCAGUACAUUUUCUAAUCACCUGGUAGACAUUGAGGCCAGUGCCACCUGACAUCAUCUAAGGAUUUGGUUCCUACUUGUGAUGGAUUGCUCUGGACAAGCAGAUUGUGCUCAGGAAGCUGGUGAUCACUUUCCAUCAUGCUUGGAUGUGCAUGAUAUCACGAUUUGCAGCCUUGUUAGCACUCUCCCUUCUAAGUUUACGUACCAGAAGACCCCAUUCAUUUGCCUGUGUAUUUCCAUUCAUUUGGACUCCAUUCGUUUCAGGAUUUCUCUGUUCUUGGACAAGAGAUAGUAUCCUGUAAUUUAUAGUGGUACUGGUCCCUCCAACGGGCCUGAGGCAGACAUGAAUGAGAGGGCUCUUACAGGUUGUCCAGCCUACUAGGAGAUGGACUGAUCCACCUUCAGCAAUGGGAGCUGCUGUGGAACCCAGCUGCUGAGAUUUUCUGAUCCAGCCAAGCCUCUGGCGAGGAUGACUGCCCCCGUCUUGCCUCCCUACAAUUUCUUCUCUCUCUCCCCCUUACCUGUGCAGGUGGCUCUGUCUGGGGCAACACAUUGUCGCUACUGCAGUGGCUACCCCGCAUUCCCAGUGAAAAUGCAUACGGACAGAACCCGCUCUGCGGAAAGGUCUAGCCUGCAUUCGUUAUAAUCUGUGACGAUUUAAAGGUCAUUAGGCAGCUUCCUGUUGCUGAAAAAACAACAUCAUCAAAUUCUUGAAGUAGAUAAACUUCAUGAGGCUGAACUAGGGAAAGAAUGGAGAAUGAAGCAAAAUACAGAUUCUGCAAUUGCAAGAAAGGGAGACCCUGCUGUUCCAGAARCAUCCAGGAAUGAAGCUGCAUUUGGUAGUGUUCUUACAAUUUUUAUUGGUGUGAAGAUCUUCUAUUACCUCUCUGUGUGGACAUCAAGAGAUACCAAAAGAAGACAGAGAACCGCUUUUUCCCCUAGAGAAAGGGAUGUGGAGGGCAAACUAUUGCAGAAGAAAAAAUUAUGUGAUCUCAAUUAUGUUUCCUCUGCCUGUUUCCAUGGCAUGAAUGUACUUGUGCACUGUGUAUCUGGAAAAAAACUCCAUUUACUGGGCAAUUUUACUCUUUGGAUUCUGGUAUACUGUUCCUGCUGGAGACUACUUAUUUCUGGGAUAUAUAAAAUUUCUGGGCAAUAUAAGACCAACAUUUUGGAAUGA